AACGAACGCUGGCGGCGUGCCUAACACAUGCAAGUCGCGCGGGAAAGUUCCCUUCGGGGAGCGAGUAUAGCGGCGCACGGGUGAGUAAUACGUAGGUAACCUGCCCUUGAGACUGGGACAACCUGUCGAAAGACGGGCUAAUACCGGAUAAGACCACGAGAGCUGCGGCUCUUGGGGUAAAAGUGCCUCUGCUUGCAAGCUAUCACUUGAGGAUGGGCCUGCGCGCCAUUAGCUAGUUGGUGAGGUAACGGCUCACCAAGGCAGAGAUGGCUAGCUGGUCUGAGAGGAUGACCAGCCACACUGGGACUGAGACACGGCCCAGACUCCUACGGGAGGCAGCAGUGGGGAAUAUUGCGCAAUGGGCGAAAGCCUGACGCAGCGACGCCGCGUGGGUGAUGAAGGCC
rnacentral:rRNA from 1 species